rnacentral:lncRNA from 10 species
UAGGAAAAUGACAGUAUCUUCAAUAAAUAGUGUUGAGAAAACUAUAGCCACAUGCAGAGCAAUGAGUCUCUCAUCUUACUCCACAUAUAUAAAUCAACUGAAAAUAUAUUAAUACUUAAAUGUAAGGCCUGAAACUCUGAAACUACUACAAAAAAUAUAGACUGAAAGCCCCGUAACAUUGGUUUCAACAGUAAUUUUUUUUAAUUUAACCUCAAAAUCCCAGGGAACUAAAGGAAAAAUAGAUGAGUCAGAUUACUUCAUAUUAAAAAGUUGCUGUACAGAAUCUGAUAUAAUCAACAAGACAAAUGGGAGAACAUUUUUGCAAACCAUACUUGUGACAAGGGGUGAAUAUCAAGAUCAUGUAAGAAAGUGACUAUACAAUAAAAAAACAAAUAACUAUGAAAAAUGAGCAAAAGGCUUAAAUAUUUUAAAAAGACAUACAUAUGGCCAAGAGAUAUUUUAAAAUGCUCAAUUACACUUAUUAUCAGAGAAAGGCAAGCCAAAAAAUCUAUGAGAUAAAAAGUCACUCAUAUUAGAAUGACUCUUAUUAAAAAGAAAAAAAAGUGUUGGUAAAGAUGUGAAGUAAAAGGAAUGCUUGCACACUGCUAGUCUGAGUGUAAAUGAGAACAGCCAUUAUGAAAACCGAAAUAGAGAUUUCUCAAUAAAUUUAAAAUAAAACUGCCAUAUAAUGCAGCAAUUUCACUAUAGGAUAUAUAUAUAUUUAAAAACAAAUGAAAUCAGAAUGAGAAAUAUUUGUAUUUCUAUGUUGUCUGCAACACUCUUCAUAAUAGCCAAAAUAUAGAAUCAACAGUUCAACAUCUAAUGAUUAAAUACUGACAAAGUAGUAUAUAUAUAAAAUUUAUCUAUUUAUCUUUUAAUAAGCCAGGAACAGAAAGAAAAUUUUAUGAUUUCACCUAAACAUGAAUGAUAUAAAACUUAAAUUCACUGAAGCACAGAAUAAAAUUGUAACCACCAGAUGCCAAGGUAUCUAAAAGAGGGCUUUAGAAAGAUGUUUGUCAAAGAAUAAUACAUAAUUAUAGUUAGAUAAAAGUAAUAUAUUCAAAAGACUUGUUGUACAGCAUGGUGUCUAUAGUUAAUAAUAAUGUAUUUUUGAAUAAUGCUAGGACAAUGUCAUGUGCUCUCACCACAAAAAUGUUAACUAUGUGAGGUACAGCAUUAAUUACCUAAAAUUAAGUUUGACAAUGUAUAUAUAUACUUCAAAACAUCAUGUUUUACAGAAUACAUGCUUUAUCUGUCAAGUUGAAAAAUAUAUAUUUAAAACAUUAUAGAAGGAUAUCAAUUUUUUCAAAUAUUCUCUGUCUUUGUCAUUAACUUGGCUAAAUGGUAUCAAAAGUAUAUAGUUUUGUGCUGUCUUGUCAUUUAAUUUUUCAGUCAUAACCAUAGGAACUCUGACAUUUAACAGCAUGUUCUGAACUCAGUACCGUGCAUGGGAGGAGCCAACGUACAUUAGGGCUUUUAUUUUAAGUUUAAGACAGCAGAAGUUUUUGGUGCUAAUUGCAAUGGUAUGAAAGACAUUAAAAGGGUAGGUGUUGUUUAUGACCUAAAGAUUGGCCACUGUUUGAACACCGUAAACAAGUUUGCAUGCAAAAUAACAGGAAAUGUUUUAACCUGAAAGCCAUUACAACUUCGUCUCCAAAAUUUUUCCAGAGAAAAUUACCAGAGUUGCCUACAGUGAAGUGACUAAAAAUAAAAACUGUAGACUGAAAUUCACCCACUUCAAAAAUUGUGAGUGAAAAAUGUCUCCAAAUUGUAAUAUCAAUAUGAAAAAUAAACAUUAUUUCAACACUAAACAUGUAAACACAUAAAUAGAAUGGUUAUAACAUUAUUCACAUUUGUAGGGUUUCUCUCCCAUUGAAUUAUCUUGUUUAGUAAGAGUUGAGGACUGGCUAAAAGUGUUCCCACUUUCUUCACAUUUGUAGGGUUUUUCUCCAGUACGAAUUUUCUUACGUCUAGUAAAGUCUGAGAAUUGAUUAAAAGCAUUGUCACAUUCUUCACAUUUAUAGAGUUUGUCUUCAGUAUAAACUAUCUUAUUUUGAGUAAGGUCUCAAAACCAGUUAAAAGCUUUGUCACAUUUUUUAUAUGUUUAGGGUUUCCUUUAGUAUUAAUUAUCUUAUGUUCAGUAAGGUUUAAGGACCAGUUAAAAGCUUUGCCACAUUCUUCACAUUUGUAGGGUUUCUCUCUAAUAUAAAUUAUCUCACAUUCAGUAAGAUUUGAGAACCCGUUAGAAGCUUUGCCACAUUCUUCACAUUUGUAGGGUUUCUCUCUAAUAUAAAUUAUCUCACAUUCAGUAAGAUUUGAGAACCCGUUAGAAGCUUUGCCACAUUCUUCACAUUUGUAAAGUAUCUCUCUAAUAUGAAUUAUCUUGUGUUCAGUAAGUUUUGAGAAACACUUAAAAGUUUUGCCAAAUCCUUUGAAUUUGUAGCGUUCCUCUCCACUAUAAAUUAUUUUGAGUAAGGUUUGAGGAUUGGUUAAAAGUUUUGCCACAUUCCACAUAUACGCCAUGGAAUACUAUGCAGCCAUAAAAAAGGAUAAGUUCGUGUCCUUUGGAAGGACAUGGAUGAAGCUGGAAACCAUCAUUCUCAGCAAACUAUCAUAAAAACAGAAAACCAAACACCACAUGUUCUCACUCAUAGGUGCGAAUUGAACAAUGAGAACGCUUGGACACAGGGUGGGGAACAUCACACACCCAGGCCUGUCAGGGGGUGGGGGGCUGCGGGAGGGAUGGCAUUAGGAGAAAUACCUAAUGUAAAUGACGAGUUGAUGGGUGCAGCAAACCAACAUGCCACAUGUAUACCUAUGUAACAAACCUGCACAUUGUGCACAUGUACCCUAGAACUUAAAGUAUAAAAAAAAAAAGUUUUGCCACAUUCUUUACAUUUGUAGGGUUUCUCUCCAGUAUGAAUUAUGUCUAGUAAGGCUUGAGGACUGGUUAAAAGCUUUGCCACAUUCUUCACAUAUGCAGGGUCUGUCUCUAGUAUAAAUUAUCCUAUGUGUAUUAAGGUUUAUAAAAUGGUUGAAAGCUCUGCCACAUUAUUCACAUUUCUAAGGUUUCUCCCCAGUGUGAAUUAUCAUAUGUUUAGUAAGGGUUGAAGGAUGGUUAAAAAGCUUUGGCACAUUCUUCACAUUUGUAGGGUUUCUCUCCAGUAUGAAUUGUUUUGUCUAGUAAGGUGUGAGGAUUGCUUAAAAGCUUUGGUACUUUCUUCACAUUUGUAGGUUUCUCUCUGGUAUGAAUUGUUUUAUGUCUAAUAAGGUAUGAGCACUGAAUAAAAGCUUUGCCACAUUCUUCACAUUUGUAGGGUUUCUCUCCAGUAUGAAUUGUUUUGUGUCUAGUAAGGUGUGAGGACUGGUUAAAGGCU